ACCCUAAUACUGAAUCCUUUGAUUGUUAACUUUGUUCAGUUUUUAUUAGCCAAAAAUUUCAGACUCGAUGUUAUUGUUGAGAUUAUACAGUUGGAAGAACAAGUAGCUGCUGAUGAUGGUGAUGGGUUAUGACGAAACUAUGGUUUCUCUUUCCCAUUCACACAGUAUUCCUCUUUCGCACAUAACCAUCAUCUUCUUCCUUUUUUUUUCCUCUCUAACCUUGCGAAAAUCUUAUUGCUUUCUAACCUAUUCACAUGUAUUUGUAAUCUCUAAUGUUAAUAUGUUCAUAUUUUUUUGUUAUUAUUAAUUUCUACUGUUAUUAAUUUAAACUGGAACCAAUUUUUGGUAUUAGUAAUUGGUUUUUGUAAUGCUUGCAGCUUGCAGGGUUGUCUUCCAUGAUAAGAGAUCUCUAAUACUCUUGGUAUGUUUAAUGUUAGGCAAAAAAACAUAAGCAAUCAAAGGGGUAUACUGAUUAUAGUCACUGAAUUGUUUAGUAGGUUGGUUCCCCUUUAUUACAUAGAUUUUAUAGAUAAGCUAGGGAUUAAGUGACCACAUGAUAAAUUUUAGUUUGGUACCUUUUUCUGUUGUUGUUAAUGGUCUGUAGCUUAUACUGUUAGGUGCCGUUCAUGGAGUGAUCAUACUAUGUCUUUUUUUCAAUUUUAGUUUCUGCUAUCUACAAAUCAGACUUCCAAAUUUUUUAAUAUGUGAUUACUCUACCAAUUAAGCUAUAUUGAUGGUUUUGCUGUUUGCGCAUUCUUAGUAGCUUGAAGCAAGAGUUAAGGGGUCAGGAUGGUAGAGAAUUUGGUCAUUCAACUGGGUCGACUGAAUUCAUGCCCAAGAUAGAAUCUAUCACAAUGGUUGCAAUAAAAUUGUAGGAAGACCGAAAGAAUGUAUAACAAAUCUCAUAACUGAUGCCAUGGUUUGAUGGUUUUGCCACAGUUUCUUUAUUAAGUGAUUUAGCUUGCCAGUUAUUUAUCAUUGACUGAUGGUUUCUUUUUGUAUGCAGACCUAUGUGAUACUAGAAACUCCAAGAGCGGCCAAUGAAUAAAAGAAAGAUGAAAGGCAGGUAAUUAGAGAUAUGUCCCUGCCCAACCACCAGAAUGUAUCAGCAAUGCUUCAUUGUUAGCAGCUGCACAAAACAGUUUAGCCGUAAAGAUACUUAGAAAAGGAAGAGAUGUCCCUAAUGGACCAGUUAUUGACAACAAAAAUGAACCGUCAAAAAGGAUGGGAGAGAAUGGUUCUCUAAAUUAUAGUCACCACUGAGUGCAUGAAAGGAGAUAAGUAUUCAUGGACCGUCGACGCUGCCAUGGACUGGACUUAGACUAUUCUUAGUCGUCAAAACCAGAUAUCUUGCAAUGAGUUCAAUUUGAAAGCCGUUAGUCAGCUGGGUGUCCCUUGGAGCAUCAAUAUGCAGCCCAAGUUUCUGAUUCUGUCCCUAGGUAAUGUUCUGGCUCCUCUAAUUAGGUGUAACUUCGCUUCCUAGGCAUGUGUCUAUAUAUUUUCUACCAUGAAAGAAAUCUUCUACCCUGAUAGAAAAUCUUGCAUAGUUGCAAUUGAAGUUGGAUGCAUAUCAUGAAUAAUCUUACAUUCUGCUUCCAAAAAGAAGAAAAAAAAAAACUUAGAUUUUUGGCGAAGGUGCUUAUUCUUCUUACAUUUCCGGGUAAUAGUGCAUCAAAAUAUUGGUUAUUCAAGAGACCAUCUCCAAGUCCGGGCUCCUGUUGAGUGAAUCUAUAAGUUAUAACAUGGUGUAAGAAAUGGUUUAUGGUUUGUAAAUUUUGGUUCACACAUAUUACUGUGUUGUUGUGUUCUUAAAAGUUCACUUAGCUAAAUAAAUGUUCUAAAUAAUUAAGUUAUCAUUUUUUCCGGACAAUGCCGGAGUACUUUUUAUUGAGGGUUGUAAAAAGUUUCUUUUGCUUUUAUUACUAUUCCUUUGCCUGA